rnacentral:rRNA from 1 species
AUUGAACACUGGCGGCAUGCCUUACACAUGCAAGUCGAACGGUAACAGGUCUUCGGAUGCUGACGAGUGGCGAACGGGUGAGUAAUACAUCGGAACGUGCCCGAUCGUGGGGGAUAACGGAGCGAAAGCUUUGCUAAUACCGCAUACGAUCUACGGAUGAAAGCAGGGGACCGCAAGGCCUUGCGCGGACGGAGCGGCCGAUGGCAGAUUAGGUAGUUGGUGGGAUAAAAGCUUACCAAGCCGACGAUCUGUAGCUGGUCUGAGAGGACGACCAGCCACACUGGGACUGAGACACGGCCCAGACUCCUACGGGAGGCAGCAGUGGGGAAUUUUGGACAAUGGGCGCAAGCCUGAUCCAGCCAUGCCGCGUGCAGGAUGAAGGCCUUCGGGUUGUAAACUGCUUUUGUACGGAACGAAAAGACUCUGGUUAAUACCUGGGGUUCAUGACGGUACCGUAAGAAUAAGCACCGGCUAACUACGUGCCAGCAGCCGCGGUAAAAC